ACUGAGGCUUCGGCCUCAGUUGAGUGGCGAACGGGUGAGUAACACGUGGGUGACCUACCUUCGAGUGGGGGAUAACGUCCCGAAAGGGACGCUAAUACCGCAUAACAUCCUUCCUUUGAACAGGAGGAGAUCAAAGCCGGGGAUCGCAAGACCUGGCGCUUGAUGAGGGGCCCGCGUCCGAUUAGCUAGUUGGUGGGGUAAUGGCCUACCAAGGCAACGAUCGGUAGCCGGCCUGAGAGGGCGGACGGCCACACUGGGACUGAGACACGGCCCAGACUCCUACGGGAGGCAGCAGUGGGGAAUUGUUCGCAAUGGGCGCAAGCCUGACGACGCAACGCCGCGUGGAGGAUGAAGGUCUUCGGAUUGUAAACUCCUGUUGCCCGGGACGAACGGCUCCAACCUAAUACGUUGGAGUUUGACGGUACCGGGUGAGGAAGCCCCGGCUAACUCUGUGCCAGCAGCCGCGGUAAUACAGAGGGGGCAAGCGUUGUUCGGAAUUACUGGGCGUAAAGGGCGCGUAGGCGGCCUGCUAAGUCGAACGUGAAAUCCCUGGGCUCAACCCAGGAACUGCGUCCGAUACUGGUUGGCUUGAAUUCGGGAGAGGGAUGCGGAAUUCCAGGUGUAGCGGUGAAAUGCGUAGAUAUCUGGAGGAACACCGGUGGCGAAGGCGGCAUCCUGGACCGACAUUGACGCUGAGGCGCGAAAGCCAGGGGAGCAAACGGGAUUAGAUACCCCGGUAGUCCUGGCCCUAAACGAUGAAUGCUUGGUGUGGCGGGUAUCGAUCCCUGCCGUGCCGAAGCUAACGCAUUAAGCAUUCCG
rnacentral:rRNA from 1 species